AUUCAACUAACGCGUCCGAAAUAGGACGAAACGUGUGUCCUGGAU
rnacentral:hammerhead_ribozyme from 1 species